rnacentral:rRNA from 1 species
GGGGAAUCUUGCACAAUGGGGGCAACCCUGAUGCAGCGACGCCGCGUGAGCGAUGAAGCCCUUCGGGGCGUAAAGCUCUUUCGACCGGAACGAUAAUGACGGUACCGGGAGAAGAAGCUGCGGCUAACUACGUGCCAGCAGCCGCGGUAAUACGUAGGCAGCAAGCGUUGUUCGGAGUUACUGGGCGUAAAGAGUGCGUAGGCGGUUUUCUAAGUUCGGUGUGAAAUCUCCCGGCUUAACUGGGAGGGUGCGCCGAAGACUGGGAAGCUGGAGUGUGGGAAAGGCAGGCGGAAUUCCUGGUGUAGCGGUGAAAUGCGUAGAUAUCAGGAGGAGCACCGGCGGUGUAGACGGCUUGCUAGACCAUAACUGACGCUGAGGCACGAAAGCGUGGGUAGCAAACA